UGCGGGGUGGAGCAGAGGCAGCUCGCCAGGCUCAUAACCUGGAGGUCGUGGGUUCGAGUCCCGCCCCCGCUAC
rnacentral:tRNA from 1 species